UUUUUUGUUACAACCAGUCACCGCAACGUUACCAGGCGAUCAGACGACAACUGCCUCACUGACUACGGAACCAGUCACCUCAACGUUCUCAGGCGAUCAGACGACAACUGCCGCACAGAAUGCGGGUAAACGAUUUGUAAUCCAUAUAAGUUUUCACAAUUGCUGCUGUAGAGGGCAUUAAUUUCAUACAUGCAUACUGUAUGAGUGCGUGCGUGCGUGCGUGUAUGCAUGUGUGUAAAGUAAGGAUGUAAUGGGUGGAUGGAUGCAUAAUUUAAGACAAAAUGCAUGAAAUAUCAUAUACGGCAGUGUGUUUCCCCUCUUCCAUCAGCAUCAAACGUUAUGAAUAUUUGUUUCUCAUCACACAAACACACCGAUGAAUAUAACGUAAUACCAUUGUGUGUGUACUGACUUUUCAACAUUAUAACAAAUAAAUGUCAUAUGUUUCAGAUUUCCCACGGUUGGUAUUGAUUGUAGCAGCUGCUUCAGCCAGUGCAGCGGUAGCCAUCAUAAGCCUUGUUCUCGUGAUUGUAUGUUGUACAAUCACGAAACCGAACAUUUCCCCAAACUACGAGCAUGCGGAUGUAAUACGUAAAAAGGCCAGUAGAUCGAACUGUGACGAUUCUACGAACUAUGAAGAGUCAGACGUCGCCCGUGCACACCGCAGCACAGACAGAAACGUGGCGCACGGUGACACCAACCCUGCCAAAAGCUACCACAAAAUCUCCGCCAGUUGCUGAAAAGGAAAGAAGUGAGUUCAAGAAUAUAUGAAGAGUUGGAUGGACAUCUCGGAAUUGAAAUGCGAGAACCAACUCCGUGUAAAACCGAUGUCCUCAGCUCACACUCAGAUCCCCCAAACAGGACAGCUGUCACUUCCACAAUUUAUGAAGCGUCCGAUGUAGUCCUUGGAGUGGAAACAUCAGAACUGCCUCAGGAUAAACCAGAUUCUACCAGCAACUCAAUAUUUUACAUCUAUCAGUCUGGGAAAAGAAAUGACAUCGCCUCUGUAAUGUAUGAAGCGCCAGAUUCCAGGGUAUCUGGACAUGCUGGACUGGCCGAUGCUGCUUCAAGCUCCUAUUCUGCCCUGUGUGGGCUGGGAAGCAAGGAGGUCGAGCACGACUACUCGAAGCUGCAUCAGUACGAUUCCGUGACAAAUGAGGAACGUCUUCGAGAAUCAAUGCAGCUUGGUAUGUACAGUGAUCCCAGGAACCUUGACAUUUGAAAGGUCGAUGAUGCAGCAAGUUCCAAACAACCAUAUUAAUUAAAGUAAUUCAGCUUAGUUGACCAGAAAGUGUUGUCAUCAAAACUGGUUUUGCCAAACGUGACACUCACCAAAGAAACAUUAGCCAUAUGUAAAUAUAUUGUUACGCCACUAUUUUUAAUCCCGCAUUUUUAUUUAAUUCUCUUUAGCACAAGAACCAUUUUACCAAUAUGUAUUUUAUAUUUAUGUUAUUAUGUAUGUAUUUUUGUCCACACAAAAUAGA